CACAGCUGAGCCCUCGGAGGCCGGCGGGCUGGCGCCCCGUGGCGGAGCGAGCUGAAGCUGCAGCCUGGGAUCCGACGAAUCGCUAGGUGAGCUGCGGCCGAACCGUUAGGAGGAAAUACGGGCCGAGAAUUGCAAGCCUGGUUCUUGAUCAUCUCCUGAAAUUGUCAAUGAGUAGGUCACCGAGUACCUGCUGAAUUUAAGAAGUAUAAUCAGUGAUGUGAUUAAAAAAAUAAGAAAUUUGUAAUUCAUAUAAAAGGAAAAUUUGCUUAAACUUCUGAAAGCAAGUCCAGUCUGGUGGAGGUGUGUUGGACAUUAAAAGAAGACUCAGAUUCUUUCUUAAAGAUUUCAGACUACAGGCCGCUGGAUUUUUAUACCAAGAUAUUACCUGGAGAAAAUACUUGCAGCCAAGCUCUGGCUUCCUCAAAACCCUUCAGGAGCCAUCUGGGGUAUCCCGACACAUAGAGGUAGACAGACCACCAAGCUGAAGCUUCUCAUGUCUACAUUCAAAAUGUCUACAUUCUCAAAAUGUCUACAUUUCAAAGCUUUCUUGGGUAUAUUUUUAAUAAAAUAAUGUGAAACUAUUUAAAAUCAUAAUUCAAAAUCAUGAAACAUUGUAACUCUUAAAUUAGGAAGAAAACGGUUGUUAAAUACAUUUUGGAAAGAUACUAAUGUUUGUCAGCACACGAGAGGAAAAUACGAGCAUCUGCGUGGCACCCUAAUAGAUCUCGGGCUCUGCUUCUGGACCCGUUAUUUGGAGUACUCCUUAUAUCUAAUUUCUCUAACAAAAUCCAAAUUUUCAUAGUUACCGUAGUGUUUUUAAACUUUUGUAACUUUUCCUGUACAACCUCAGUGAUCUGAGCUGUCCUGGGAGCAGGCCGUGCUGAACAUGUGACUGUCGAGGAUUUGUCCAGUUAAGUACCAGUACGUUAAAGAAGGGCACAGUUGUUCUGGAUAGAAACCUGCAGUACACAGUGUACCUAAGGAGGUGGUUUUCCUUCCCGCUGGACCAGAAUGUCCCACAUUUCAUUGUCAUGAGCACUAAUUACUGGGGUUUAGCUGCAGCGCCCUCAGACCUGCUGCCUCAGCAGGGGCCUUCUGCAGCCAGUGGCUGUGUGGUUCUCCCUGCUUUGCAAGUUUCCCGUUACCUCCUUUAUUCUUAGUCUGUUAUCAGGUACUUCUAGUGGCAAGUACCACUUCUACUAAAGUGCUGCUCAUAAUCUAUUGUAGACUUGGAAACCCUUGAAACUACGCUUGUGAGGUGUAAAAAUAGUGUGACUAGUGGGAGAGGGGAAGGGCUGGAGGGCUCUCCUACAAGGAGACUGUGACCUUCAGAACUGAAAUUGUAUUUGGUCUGUGCAGUAAUGACUCUGCUUGCUUGAUUCAUGACUAGGUUCCCAACUGGCAGAGUUGCCAGAUGUGUGUGGUUCUGGGUCUGAGAAUGAAUUAAGCUGAAUGUUCACUGACACAGAUAACAGUGCACACUUUUAAAUUUUAUCAUAAUUUUAUCAAAUCUUCUUAUAAUAAGGCACACUGGCACCCAAGUAAUACUGAACAUGAGACAUCUUUCUACUAUCGUUCAGAAGAUUUCUAAGGGUGAAAUUCACACAACAUAGAAUUAACCAUUUUAGUGGCAUUUAGUCCUCGUUAUGCAACCACCACCUCUAUCUAGUUCCAAAAUAUUUUCAUCAUACCAGAAGGAAACUCCAUACCCAUUAAGUAGGUACCCCUUAAUCACCCUUCCCUCCAGCCCCUGGCAACCACCACUCUACUGCCCAUCUCUAUGGAUUUACCUAUUCUGGAUAUUUCACAUAAAUGGCGUCAUGCAACAUGUGACACUUUGUAUUUCGCUUCUUAGUGUAAUGUUCAUCCACCUGGUAGCAUGUCUCAGUAAGUACUGCAUUCCUUUUUAUGGCUGAAUCAUAUUCCAUUGUAUGGAUAGACCACAUUUUGUUUAUUCAUCUGCUAAUAGACAUUUGGGUUGUUCCAAUAAAUGUUAUUUUUCAUUAAUUAUUUCUCAGGGGAAUAUGAUCUCUUACACAAAGCACACAUAUUCUGAAAUCUUUCAGAAUCUUCAUCUCUUUUUAAAAAGACACAGUGUUCCCAUUCCUCACACUAAGUGAAAUUGAGGAAUUGUGAAAGCUUAAGGCCCAGAAGCUUACUGUUCCACAUUUUAUUAAGUGUUUUAGAUAUCAAUAAGGAUAAGAGAGACUCCUCAGCCAACUUUUUCAACAUGGCCAUCUACAGCUGGUCUUAUCAACAGAAAUAUUACAGAUAAGGUCCACUCAAAAACAAAAGUCCCGUCACCAAUAAAUUGUAACAUAUUUACACACAAGUAAGACUUAGGACCUGUAGUAGAAAAUACUCUGACUUAAUAUAAUUACUGGAGAAUCACUAC